rnacentral:rRNA from 1 species
UAUGGAAGGCAGCAGUGGGGAAUAUUGCACAAUGGGCGAAAGCCUGAUGCAGCUAUGCCGCGUGUAUGAAGAAGGCCUUAGGGUUGUAAAGUACUUUCAUCGGGGAGGAAAAACAAAACUAAUAAUUUUAUUUCUUGACGUUACCCGAAAAAGAAGCACCGGCUAACUCCGUGCCAGCAGCCGCGGUAAUACGGAGGGUGCUAGCGUUAAUCAGAAUUACUGGGCGUAAAGAGCACGUAGGUGGUUUUUUUAAGUCAGAUGUGAAAUCCCUGGGCUUAACCUGGAACUGCAUUUUGAAACUGAAAUACUAGAGUAUCGUAGAGGGAGGUAGAAUUCUAGGUGUAGCGGUGAAAUGCGUAGAUAUCUGGAGGAAUACCUGUGGCGAAAGCGGCCUCCUAAACGAAUACUGACACUGAGGUGCGAAAGCGUGGGGAGCAAACAGGGAUUAGAUACC